rnacentral:rRNA from 1 species
UGCGUAGGCGGGCUAAUUAGUCAGUGGUGAAAACCUGCAGCUUAACUGUAGACUUGCCAUUGAUACUGUUAGUCUUGAGUACGGUCAAGGUAGGCGGAAUGUGUAAUGUAGCGGUGAAAUGCUUAGAUAUUACACAGAACACCGAUUGCGAAGGCAGCUUACUGGACCAUAACUGACGCUGAGGCACGAAAGCGUGGGUAGCGAACAGGAUUAGAUACCCUGGUAGUC